GACGAACGCUGGCGGCGUGCUUAACACAUGCAAGUCGAACGAUGAAGCCGGAGCUUGCUCUGGUGAAUUAGUGGCGAACGGGCGAGUAACACGUGAGUAACCUGCCCUUGACUCUGGGAUAACUGCGGGAAACUGUAGCUAAUACCGGAUACGACCCUCGGAGGCAUCUCCUGGGGGUGGAAAGAAUUUCGGUCAAGGAUGGACUCGCGGCCUAUCAGCUAGUUGGUGAGGUAAAGGCCCACCAAGGCGACGACGGGUAGCCGGCCUGAGAGGGUAACCGGCCACACUGGGACUGAGACACGGCCCAGACUCCUACGGGAGGCAGCAGUGGGGAAUAUUGCACAAUGGGCGCAAGCCUGAUGCAGCAACGCCGCGUGAGGGAUGACGGCCUUCGGGUUGUAAACCUCUUUUAGCAGGGAAGAAGCGAAAGUGACGGUACCUGCAGAAAAAGCACCGGCUAACUACGUGCCAGCCGCCGCGGUAA
rnacentral:rRNA from 1 species